GAUGAACGCUGGCGGCGUGCCUAACACAUGCAAGUCGAGCGAUUUACUUCGGUAAAGAGCGGCGGACGGGUGAGUAACGCGUGGGUAACCUGCCCUGUACACACGGAUAACAUACCGAAAGGUAUGCUAAUACGAGAUAAUAUACUUUUAUCGCAUGGUAGAAGUAUCAAAGCUUUUGCGGUACAGGAUGGACCCGCGUCUGAUUAGUUAGUUGGUAAGGUAACGGCUUACCAAGGCGACGAUCAGUAGCCGACCUGAGAGGGUGAUCGGCCACAUUGGAACUGAGACACGGUCCAAACUCCUACGGGAGGCAGCAGUGGGGAAUAUUGCACAAUGGGCGAAAGCCUGAUGCAGCAACGCCGCGUGAGCGAUGAAGGCCUUAGGGUCGUAAAGCUAUGUCCUCAAGGAAGAUAAUGACGGUACUUGAGGAGGAAGCCCCGGCUAACUACGUG
rnacentral:rRNA from 1 species